ACUCCUACGGGAGGCAGCAGUGAGGAAUAUUGGUCAAUGGGAGCAAUCCUGAACCAGCAAUGCCGCGUGUGGGAAGACAGGGCUCAGCCUUGUAAACCACUGUCGGACGGGACGAAAAGGUGCUUUGAGCACCCGGGACGGUACCGUCAAAGGAAGGGUCGGCUAACUACGUGCCAGCAGCCGCGGUAAUACGUAGGACCCGAGCGUUGUCCGGAUUUACUGGGUAUAAAGGGUGCGCAGGCGGCCGUGUGCGUCAGAAGUGAAAUAUCUGGGCUUAACCCGGAGGGUGCUUUUGAUACGGCAUGGCUUGAGUCCGAGAGAGGAUGAUGGAAUUCCUGGUGUAGCGGUGGAAUGCGUAGAUAUCAGGAGGAACACCGGUGGCGAAGGCGGUCAUCUGGCUCGGAACUGACGCUCAGGCACGAAAGCGUGGGGAUCAAACAGGAUUAGAUACCCUGGUAGGAUAGCG
rnacentral:rRNA from 1 species